CUGGACAGCUGUAUGGUUCGAUCCGGGCUGGUUUGGGAGUGCAGACAAACGCUAAAGUAUGUAACGCAGAGGAAUAGUGUGGAACUUUGUUGGAUCAAAGGACACAGUGGCAACGAAGGAAACGAGAGGGCAGAUGAGAUGGCGAAGCCAGCCGCGCGCAUGCCCUUCUGGGGACCCGAACCGGCAAUCACGCCUUCGGUCGCCCUCUCGAACGAACUCGUAAAGCAAUAUACCCAUAGACGCCAUGAGCAGAUAUGGGCGACGUUGAGCAGCUGUCGGCAUAGUAGAGCUUGGACAAACUGCGUAAACUGGUAGGAUUCCUUACGGGACAUUACCAGUUUAACAAACAUCUACAUACGAUAGGGGUAGUAACAGACCCAAUCUGUCGUGGAUGCAAUGAAGAAGAGGAAACA